rnacentral:tRNA from 1 species
UGGAGAAAUCUAGAAACUUAAAGUUCUAGUUUUACUAACUUGUGUUAGCUAGUAAGUCAUCGUUUUCUUAUUCAGCACUGCCGAUAGUAACUAACUAUGUAUUCAUUCUUUUUUCAACAAUUAUAUAGAGAACAAUUACCUUUUUACAAUAUUAGAUUACAUAAAUGUAAGACUUUUCAGGUUAAGCAAACGGCCUUGUAGAAGUCAAGCGUUGCUCUGUUUCUUACCAUGCCCACCUGGUUUCAAGAUCAUUAGUCGUUUCAAUUCGAUCUGCUUCCAACAGAAUCAGGGAAAGAGUUUGAUAAAUCAUAGCUCCCCCUUCCCACAGUGCAGAUUUUUUUAUUUCUUCAACAUCUACCGAGGCUUUUCUAUCGUGUUUCUUCGAAUGUCUCAGUCCAUUGCUAGACAGCGACAUUGAAACCACGUCAAUGUAGUUCUACAGCACAGACGGAGAGGUUUGAGGACGUGUUUGAGCUUUUCAUGUGGCAAAUAGAAGAUGACGGAAAGCAAUCAAAGGAAUAUUAGACGGAGAGUCUUCUUUUUUCAACAGGCUGGUCGAGUGAGUGUUGUCUCUCCUAAUUCUCACGAGCGAAUACUGACCGUUUACAUCCUUUUCGAUCAUUUUUUCUUAUCCGGAAUACAACACCACCAUCAGGCUGAAUGACUUCGCCCUCCUUAAGUUGACAACGGAAAUUCAGUUUGAUUCUCGUGAUGUCGACUACUCGACUUCAUUCCAUACGGCGAAGAACUAUAUAACCAACAAUAAGAUCAGGCUGUUCAUGGCGUGGGGCGCAACUUUUGUAUUACGGAUGCACCCAACAUUUCCCAAACACAUAACGUCCUAGUCUACCUGUAUCUGUCUAUACAUUAAUUACAUUAUAACGGCUCGAAACAGGAAGGAGGUUAUGAGUCCGUUAAUCUUCAAUAUGGAUACUCCUCUAUCUUCCCGCCGACUACUGACGCAACAUGCGGAGAUUACUCCGGCGCGUUAUUUGGUUUUAGAACCAUGUUUUGUUGUUUCAUCACAUUAGCUGCACGUGAGAUCAAUCUGUUGAGAUCGUAUAGUUUCCUCUAUACAAUACUAUAUCUAUACGUUAUCAGUUAUACUGUUUGUCUAUCUACUCUCUCCGUGGUUCCUGCUGGAUCGACUUGUCAGUAUGAUGAAGGGUCACCUUUCGUUCAAGACUACGUUGAACCUGCUGAUGAUCCAUCUGGGGUGAUCCCCACUGCUGUAGGCAUCUUUUCCAAAGACCCGAGAUGCGAUCCUAUUAGCAAAAGCGUCUAUAUAAUCGAAUGUCGAUCUACUAUUUUUGGUUUAUAAACACAGCCGGCCAACAGCCAGCCCGACAACUGUAAAGAGGCAAAUCGAUAUUACAACCAGUAUACUCAAGAUGGGCACCGAUGCCAACAUUGAAUGGGAACACCCGCGUGAAUUGUUGGCGGUUGAAAAUCGAAAUAGCUUUGAUAGCGUCAAAGAAAAUGAACGGUUUGAUGAUUCCUUAAGCUACUAGUGUGUUUAAAAUAUGGACAUAGAUGAGUUGUGGACAAUAUGUCUCCAGUGGCGCAGUUGGUUAGCGCAUGGUACUUAUAAGACAGUAACUAGUUGAGCUAAUUGAAAAGUCAUGUUUCAGAGUAAUGCCGAGGUCGCGAGUUCGAGCCUCGCCUGGAGAAUUUUUAAUUAAUUCAUGUUUUUUCUAUUGCAUUGCUUGACAUUUGUCUGGUAACAAAAUGAGUCAAUAGGAAAGAAAACGAGGCUGAUCAAGUUUUUGUCCAAUCCUUAAUGCACUCAACGAGCUGUAGUUUAACAGGAUUUCAAAAUUGGAAUGCUUCACCGUGAUUGGGGACGCUUAAGAAUAUGUGAAAAAGUAAUUCAAAGAGUUGGGUUCCUAUUUACAACAAACCAAGUUC